CCUACGGGAGGCAGCAGUGGGGAAUAUUGCGCAAUGGGGGGAACCCUGACGCAGCCAUGCCGCGUGAAUGAAGAAGGCCUUCGGGUUGUAAAGUUCUUUCGGUGACGAGGAAGGUUGUUGUGUUAAUAGCGCAACAAAUUGACGUUAAUCACAGAAGAAGCACCGGCUAACUCCGUGCCAGCAGCCGCGGUAAUACGGAGGGUGCGAGCGUUAAUCGGAAUAACUGGGCGUAAAGGGCACGCAGGCGGUGACUUAAGUGAGGUGUGAAAGCCCCGGGCUUAACCUGGGAAUUGCAUUUCAUACUGGGUCGCUAGAGUACUUUAGGGAGGGGUAGAAUUCCACGUGUAGCGGUGAAAUGCGUAGAGAUGUGGAGGAAUACCGAAGGCGAAGGCAGCCCCUUGGGAAUGUACUGACGCUCAUGUGCGAAAGCGUGGGGAGCAAACAGGAUUAGAUACCCUGGUAGUC
rnacentral:rRNA from 1 species